CUUGCUUUCUUUGCUGGCGACCGGCGCACGGGUGAGUAACACGUAUCCAACCUGCCCUUUCGUCGGGGAUAGCCUUUCGAAAGAAAGAUUAAUACCCGAUAGUAUAAUGAUUCCGCAUGGUUUCAUUAUUAAAGGAUUCCGGUAAAGGAUGGGGAUGCGUUCCAUUAGGUUGUUGGUGGGGUAACGGCUCACCAAGCCUUCGAUGGAUAGGGGUUCUGAGAGGAAGGUCCCCCACAUUGGAACUGAGACACGGUCCAA
rnacentral:rRNA from 1 species